rnacentral:rRNA from 1 species
AUUUUUAAAGUUAUAAAGGGCUUUAUGCGGUUAACUAGAUUUAGCUAUUUUUCGGUUACAAUUUUAUAUAAUAUUAGUCAUAUCUUAGACGGGUGAUUUACACAACACUAGCUCCUGAUUAAACAGGAUUUUAUUAGACGCAAAGCAACAAAAUGUGCACUCAAUUUUAAAACUUUUUAUUGGUAAAGUAUAGGAUUAUUAGAAAUACCAUAUAAUUAAGCUAUACUAAGUUUGAUAAGAUGCAGUAUAAUCUCUAAUAAAGCUUGUGCACACAGUACCUUUAGCAUAAUGGCCUUUUGAGAGAAUUUGCCUGAUGGCUUUUCCCGAAAUAAAAAGAUUUUUAGAGAAGUAAGCCUCCGGGGUAUUCGAUGUAAGAAUUUCUGAGUUAACUUUUUUAAAGAUGUGAUACGCAAAAUCGAGUUUUAUGAUAGCUGGUUGUUCGAAAAAUGCUUUUAAGUGCAGCUUUAUAAAGGUAACUAAGGAUACGGUUAAAUUUAAAAUUAUUUAUUCGUUAGGACCAAAAGUGAGAAAUCUGGCUUAAGGUCAGAUUAUUGCCGGUUUCUUUGAUUCUUCAAUUUUUAAAAAGAGAUAUAGGGAUUAUGGUACCCCUUUCCAAAUAAUGAGAGGCGUCAGCAUUUUAAUAUGAGUGUUUAACAACUUAUCUUUUACCGUGUAUAAAAUAAUAAUUUAUUUACAAGAGCCAGAAAAAAUCGUUCAAUGAACUAAAGAUUGGAUUAUAGUUAAAUAUUAUGUUUUUAUAGAAAUAUAGUAUGAAAAUUUAUUAAAAGGAACUCGGCAAAUUCAGGCCCCGCCUGUUUAACAAAAACAUCGCUAAAAGUAGUUGAUUUUUAGUAGUACCUGCCCAGUGCGUAUUAUCUUGUUAACGGCCGCCUUAGCGUGAGGGUGCUAAGGUAGCGAAAUUCCUUGCCUUUUAAUUGUAGGCCAGCAUGAAUGGUUUGACGAGGGCCUCACUGUCUCUUAGUUCUAUGUUGAAAUUGUAGUGUAGGUGAAGAUACCUUCAUAAAAAAGUAAGACAAAAAGACCCCGUGCAACUUUGAAAAUUAAGCUAGAUUAAAUGGCAAAAGAUUUUUAGGUGGGGCGCCAAAAGAGGAAACUAUAACCUCUGCUGUUUAAGCUAAUUCUUACUGGAGUUGACCUGACUUAAGUCGAUCAAAGGAGAAGUUACGCCGGGGAUAACAGGCCAAUUCUUUAGUAAAGCUCGUAUUAACUAAAGGGCUUGGCACCUCGAUGUUGAAUCAGGGAUUAUAGCUUCAAGGCGUAGAUGCUUUGAUUAGUAGGUCUGUUCGACCUUUGAAACCCUACGUGAUUUGAGUUCAGACCGGCGUAAGCCAGGUUGGUUUCUAUCUGCUUAAUUUAACAUUAUCUUAAUAUGUACGAAAGGACCGUUAGGAUGGGAAGGUGCGCCCAAUGUCAGAAAUAGUUCUAUUUAAUGCAAAUGUAAAAUUUAAG